rnacentral:rRNA from 1 species
CCCUAUGGGGCGCAGCAGCGUGACGAGCCGAGCUUCGAGAAGUUCGAGGUGCAGCGGGCCAGCGGAAACUCGCCGGGCCUGUUCAUCACGCUCCGCGAUCAGUCGUUCGCCACGUUGGAGACCACGGUUUCCAUCCCGGACGGCGGCACAGUGCUGCUGGGCGGGCUGAAGCAGGUCGGUGAAGUCGAGAUGGAAGCCGGCGUGCCAGUUCUGAGCAAGAUCCCGGUCCUGAAGCGGGCAUUCACCAACCAGACCACGGUCAAGGAUACGCGCACGCUGCUGAUUCUGAUGAAGAGCAAGAUCAUCAUUCAGAAGGAGGCCGGGGACGAGGCCUUCCCGACGUUUACGCGUUCCGGCAUGUAAUGCAGCCGGGCGGGUUGUGGUGACAGCCUGGGCGGGGGAGC